rnacentral:rRNA from 1 species
CCUACGGGAGGCAGCAGUGGGGAAUUUUGGACAAUGGGCGAAAGCCUGAUCCAGCCAUACCGCGUGCGGGAAGAAGGCCUUCGGGUUGUAAACCGCUUUUGUCAGGGAAGAAAUGCUUCGGGCUAAUACCCUGGGGUGAUGACGGUACCUGAAGAAUAAGCACCGGCUAACUACGUGCCAGCAGCCGCGGUAAUACGUAGGGUGCAAGCGUUAAUCGGAAUUACUGGGCGUAAAGCGUGCGCAGGCGGUUCUAUAAGACAGAUGUGAAAUCCCCGGGCUCAACCUGGGAACUGCAUUUGUGACUGUAGAGCUAGAGUACGGUAGAGGGGGAUGGAAUUCCGCGUGUAGCAGUGAAAUGCGUAGAUAUGCGGAGGAACACCGAUGGCGAAGGCAAUCCCCUGGACCUGUACUGACGCUCAUGCACGAAAGCGUGGGGAGCAAACAGGAUUAGAUACCCUGGUAGUCCACGCCCUAAACGAUGUCAACUGGUUGUUGGGAGGGUUUCUCUCAGUACGAAGCUAACGCGUGAAGUUGACCGCCUGGGGAGACGCGCGAGUGAACGUAAGUAGAGUGNGNGNGAGAGNGCGAGACGACGACGAGGGAGAGG